rnacentral:rRNA from 1 species
GAUGAACGCUGGCGGCGUGCCUAAUACAUGCAAGUCGAGCGAAUGGAUUAAGAGCUUGCUCUUAUGAAGUUAGCGGCGGACGGGUGAGUAACACGUGGGUAACCUGCCCAUAAGACUGGGAUAACUCCGGGAAACCGGGGCUAAUACCGGAUAACAUUUGAACCGCAUGAUUCGAAAUUGAAAGGCGGCUUCGUCUGUCACUUAUGGAUGGACCCGCGUCGCAUUAGCUAGUUGGUGAGGUAACGGCUCACCAAGGCAACGAUGCGUAGCCGACCUAAGAGGGUGAUCGGCCACACUGGGACUGAGACACGGCCCAGACUCCUACGGGAGGCAGCAGUAGGGAAUCUUCCGCAAUGGACGAAAGUCUGACGGAGCAACGCCGCGUGAGUGAUGAAGGCUUUCGGGUCGUAAAACUCUGUUGUUAGGGGAGAACAAGUGCUAGUUGAAUAAGCUGGCACCUUGACGGUACCUAACCAGAAAGCCACGGCUAACUACGUGCCAGCCGCCGCAGUAA